UACGAAGGGUGCAAGCGUUACUCGGAAUUACUGGGCGUAAAGCGUGCGUAGGUGGUGAGUUAAGUCUGUCGUGAAAGCCCCGGGCUCAACCUGGGAAUGGCGAUGGAUACUGGCUCGCUAGAGUGCGGUAGAGGAGAGUGGAAUUCCCGGUGUAGCAGUGAAAUGCGUAGAGAUCGGGAGGAACUCAGUGCGAAGGCGGCUCUCUGGACCAGCACUGACACUGAGGCACGAAAGCGUGGGGAGCAAACAGG
rnacentral:rRNA from 1 species